UUAUCAUUCACCGUGUGAUUUCAAGUUUCAAGUUCCAGCGUUCUCUCUCUCUCAAAAAUGUUCUCCCUCAACGAUCUCACCUUCUCGCUCAUCAAUCUCAUCCUCUCAUCGCCGCCUUCUCCUCUCCGCCUUCAUCCGAUCCCUAUCACCGUUUCCAAAUCGCCGCCGCAACCUAAUCGACGCCCCCUUCUCCGUUUCAUUACGAGCACGCGAUUCUGACACGCUAUUCUGUUUCUAAUGGCCUCCUCGAUUCAGUUAGGGUUUUUGUUGUUCAUUACUUCAUUUAGGGCCCCGUUGUCCCCUUGGAACGUAAUCACUCUUCUUCUGCCUCAGAGAAGAGGUUCAUCAAGGAGCCCGAUAGAGACGGUGACAGCCAAGUAACUCUGGAAGAUUUAGAAAUUACAAUGAAAUAGUAGGACUGCAUUCAAAUAUACGCAAAUUGUCCUGGAUCACCAUAAGCUGGUGAAGUAGAUGAAACACCAUUCAUUUUAGGCCUCAAAUGUGCAAGUCAACUAAAGAUUCGAACAGUGAAAAAUUGGACAAGGAGCUCAAUGCCAAACUCAGCAUAAAAAAUAAAUAUCACAACUCUUUUCAGUUAGUUUGCUUUGACAACCUGAGAACUAGAUUUGAGAAGGAACAAGGAAGGUCCAUUGUUUAUUAUUCGUUGGUUAGGUUUAAUUUGGAUUUGCUGAAAAAUGUCUGUUUUCUCUGCACUAUCCUUUUCUGAUAUCUCUCCUAACAGGGUCCCUAUCCUCUUCAAUGUUUUAUUACCAAGAUUGAAUUUCAAGUUUAGAACAAAAAAAUAUCCGUUGGAUUUCUGAGUAUGUAAUGUAGUAGACAUGGUUCCAUUACAUGAUUUGGUGAUCAUAUAUUCAUAUGGACUGAACAUUUCCUUUUUUACUGGAAUUUUAGUUUUAUCUAGCCGGCUAGGUCCAAAUCCUCCUCUUCACUGUGGCUGCCAUUAUGCCCAUCUCAGGAAAGAGUUCAUGACAGAAACUAUAGGCUGGGUACGCCAAAGGCAGGACUCAGAUGGUGAUUUUGGCAAUGGUGGGGGAAGAUGAGAUUCAGCGCCACUUUUUCCUGAAUCAUUAGCUAACACAAGUUGGGUGAGACUGGAUUUGUUAGAACACCUGAAUCAAUGAUAAUCAAUGUUGUUUUGCUACAAACUAUCUUCCAUUAGUGUUAGCCAAUGACAGGGUAGUGAAGAAGCUGGAAGCCAAACCUAUAAGCUUGCUCAAUGGUAUUUGGAGGGGAACACAUGAUAUUUGGGAGGAGAAUUACCGAAGCUAUCUUUUUUAUGCCAGGGUAGUUGCUGUGCUGAGAUCCUAUGAGUGUAGGGUAGGAAUGAGUUUAUAUCACAAGUGAGGAGGAGCUGAUGCAAAUGAUGGCAGAGAGGAGUUGUGAUGGUUGUGAUGGUCGCUUGUGUACAUAGAUGAACAAUAUGAUGGAGAUGAUUAUAUACAUUGUCAUAUCCUGUUUGUGUAAUAAGCAUGUGCUCAUUUCAUCUUCAGAGCUACGAAUUCUCAUAUACCUUAACCAUUUUACGCACCUUUGCUUUGUGAUGUGGAUCUGGGUGAUGAUGCAUCAUGAAAAUGUAGUCAAAUAUGCAAUUUCAGCUAUAUGGUUUAGAAGAAAAUUAUUAUUCUUUUUUAUAGAA